CGCUUAUAGAUUUAUCUCUUUAGCAAAUACAUAUUUUUUACAAAUCACAACAUCAGCAAUUUUCUCUGCUUUAAUUGAAGCCAUAUUUUAUAGAAAUCAGAUAAGAAAUGAGGGUGCUGUGAAUAUYUUUGUGACAGAUUGACGUGCAUCCUGCAUUGAAACUCUACUGUUUUGUUGACCUGACUCAACGCAGAGCAGUGGCUGCUGUGRCGGUGUGUCGCUAGCUGUAGCAGCUAUAGGCCAUGUCCAGUCCAGUAAUGUAAUCAAUGGUUGAUACGCUAGCAAACAGUUCUGUGAUAAUUCCCAUAUUUCAAGAAGGGAAGCUGUUUCAAAAGUUGGUAUCUGGACAUCAAACGCUUCUCUAAAGAAAACUAUUCAGCAGAGGAGCUUCUGAUUUUUAACUGUUUUAGUUUUUUUUCAGCUGCUUCAGUUUUUUUUCAGCUGCUUCAGUUUUUUUCAGCUGCUGUGUUUUGAUCGGAGCAGCUGUUGUUUGUUGUUGGUCUGUGGAACCGGACCCGGUGACUCAGCGUUCUGUAACCUGACUCAGGUGUUGACCACAGUGAGAAAAUCACCUGCAGGUUCUUUAUUUACUCCAUCACUGUGUGACAUGGAGGACUUUGUCUUGUUCACRGCUCUGAAUAAAGUUUAUUUAAAGAUUA